rnacentral:rRNA from 1 species
UACGGAGGAUGCAAGCGUUAUCCGGAAUUAUUAGGCGUAAAGCGUCCGCAGGUGGCACUUCAAGUCUGUCGUCAAAGACCGGGGCUUAACCCUGGAAAGGCGAUGGAAACUGAAAGGCUAGAGAGAGGUAGGGGUAGAGGGAAUUCCCAGUGUAGCGGUGAAAUGCGUAGAGAUUGGGAAGAACAUCGGUGGCGAAAGCGCUCUACUGGACCUCAUCUGACACUCAGGGACGAAAGCUAGGGGAGCGAAUGGG